GGCUCAGGACCCUCGGGAGACGUGUUUCAUAGCAAAGCUCCAGGGCCCUGGUGUGACGGACAGCAGGGUACAGGGCACAGCUCAGCUCCCCUGCAGUCACGCCAGCCAGCUCUCCGUGCGGUUACCCAACAGCCCCCUGGCUCAGAGCAGCAGAGACCAGCCCUCAGGGCACACUCUGUAGGCCUUUGAGGCAGCUGGAGGGAGCCAAGAUGACAGCAGGAGGCAAUCACAGAGGGCUUCUCGCAAGAGGCAGAGGCUUCCCACCAAGGAUUCCUGAAACGUAGCCUAGGAAACAGCUUGGCCAAAGGGAUUAGCCCCAGUCGUCUCACAAGCUGGGCAACGCUCUAGUCCUGGCUUCCAUCCUCAGUGCCCUCCGUCCACCUGUGUGGAGUACCACAGUUGAGGUGGGUACAGACGAUUCCGAACGUGAGGGUUUUUGCUGUCAGGCCUCACGGCCUGAAGUUCUGUUCCAGGAAGCACACGGUGGAUGACGAGAACGGACUCCCCAAAGCUGUCUUCUAUCACACAGGUCAUCGAUGUGACACACAGCCGCCCCUCCCCCACAGUGAAUACAAUAAAUAAAUAAAACCUGGUGUGGCCUGUGCACCUGUCAUCUCAGUGCCCUGGAGGCAGAGGCUGCAAGACCAGGAGUUCAAACUCACCCUCAGCUGCUUGGUAAAUUCGAGACCAGUCUGGGUAACACGAGAGAUCCUGUCUCCAAAACCGUCAUGCAUGCAUUCAUGAAGACAAAGUGGGCAUUUUUGUGGAUUCUCAUGUGUUUACGUUCACUGCCAAUGUCCAGUCCCUGAAUAUUUGUUUCCUUCCCAGACGCCAGCCACCUGGUCAAGCUGGUAUGCGUUGGUAUGCGUUGGCAGUCUCCCUUCCCGGAGGCAGGAACUGAAGCAGAGGCCACGGAGGAGCCUGCUUUCUUGCACAGCCCAGGCCCACCUGCCCAGGAGCCCAGGAAUGGCAUCCUCCACAUCGGGCAGGGUUCUCCCUCAUCAUCAGUUAGCAAUUGGACAUGCCCACAGGACAGUGGGCAAUUCCUCCGUUGAGGUUCCCUCUUUCUGAGUGACUCUGGUUUGUGUCAAGCUGAUAGUUAGUGCAAUGGGGGAGAUUUUUUUGUGUAAGUGUCCUCAGUACUUCUCCCCCACCCCCAGUGUUGGGAAAUGGAACCUGGGGCCUCCAGCGGACUAGAUGAGGGACUCUCCAUUGAGCCACAUCGCUAACUCUCUUAGGGAACUGAAGAGAUGUAAGGUGCCUCUGUGCCUAAGUUUUUGGGGACCUGCCAAACCGUUUUCCACACAGCCCAUGCUCCCGCCUGCGAUGGUGCCUGCUCUGUUUAUCUUUUGGAGCAGGGCCAUGUGGUGGUGUGAGCUGUGUGGCUCUCUCGCCAUCUUUCCUAAUGACUCACGCACAAUGCUGUUUUGUACUUUUCAUUGUUGAGGUUCUUCACGUCUUUUGUUGAUUUGUUCUUAAGAAGGUUGUUUUUGUUUGUUUGUUUGUUUUUGUUUUUUAACUCUCACAAAUGUUUCCACCCUUUCCCUUUCUUUCUUUUCUUUUUUUCAAUUUUUUUUUUUUUUUGAUAGGGUCUUUCUAUGUAGCCCUGGCUGUUCUGGAACUCAUCAUUCAGACCAGGCUGGCCUCAAACUCACAGAGAUCUGCCUGUGUCUGCCUCCUGAUGGGGUGAAAUGAAAUGAAUGGGCCACCCAGUCUAGGUUUCUGUUUUGUGUGUGUGUGUGUCUGUGUGAGUCUUCGCUUCUUGCUAUGUUGGGUAGAGACCAGUUAACUGCUCUGCACUGAGUCACAACCCUAACCUCUUUUUUUUUUUUUAAGAUUCUUUUAAAAGGCUUAUUAUUAUUAUUUUAUUUCUGAGUACCCUGUGUGUCUGUAUGCCACACGAGUGCAGGGAUCUUAGAGGCCAGAAGAGGGCGUCAGAUCCUUCGGAGCUGGAGCUUCAGGCAGUUGUGAACCACCCACCAUGCAUGCAUGCUGGGAACUGAGGUCCUUUGCAACAACAGCAUGUGCUCUUAGCCACUGAGCUGCCUCUCCAAGCCCUUUUCUUUAAAACAAAACAAAACGACAAACAACCAGACUGUUUUAAAAAUAGGAAUACUAGAUUUACAGCAAUGUUGCAUGAGGAUGAUAGAAUUUCCCAUAGAGCUUCUCUCUGAAUCAAACUCCCACAGCAGAAAGGUGUGUUGGUUAUAACGAAUGACACUUGCCCCCGCCUGAGUCACCUGUUGGCGUCAACUCUCCUUCACUGAACCUCUGGCAGCCCCUUACCCCUGUGGUCCCUGGAGUUUUCUCAGACAUUAUAAGCUGGGAUGAAUAAUAACUUGUAACUUGAAAGCAGGUGUUUCACUUAAUCAGGGUCCUCCGAGGCUUGUCAUUCUUCAUUCUCUCUCUCCCCCCUUCACUGUCUCUCUCUCUCUGUUCCUCUUGUUUUUGAGACAAGGCCUCACUACAUGGCAUAGGCUGGCUUAGAUCUCCUUGUUAU